GAUUAACUAUGAUAAUUUAAGGCCAAGACCAUUCCGGGAUUUGAAGUCGGGACUUUUGGCCUUUGAUUUUAUUUUGAGAGAUAAGUUGUGCAUGAAAAUUGUUGACAUUAAACACUUAGGAAAAUUUAGGACCAAAAGUGAUAUAAUUGGAAUUGAAAAAAAAUCUUGUGCAAAAAGGCCUUGUAUAUAAAGAAAGAAGUCCCGAUAUAAUUUAGGCCUUAACAAGUAUGACGACGGUGGUUGAGAAUAAUAUUUGUUUAGAUAUAAAGAGGCUAUGGACUAGGAUUAUACCACAUGAGUAUGUGAAGUGUGUUAAAAAUGAUUAUUAUUUAAGUGAACUGAGAUCAAAAAAUUAAUUAUGUGUGUGAUUGACCAAAUGUUAGAAUUGUAGUGGAAGUAAAACAAUUAAUUGGGUUUAUUGAAUAAUCAUUAAUGUGGACAUACUCCACAUGUUCGGUUCACAAAUGGACAACAAUAUGUCCACACUCAAGGACACGUAAGGUUGUAGACAAGAUGAAUAUUAAGGGGAUUCCAUAUGUUUGGCACGUGUAAAGGCAAUUAGCCAUUUUACUUGUCUCACUGUAUAAUGCUAUCUAAAGGCAUAUUUUUGCAACAAACAGUCAUUUCCUCUUAGCUACAUCAACGAGCAGUUCAUGAUAGUAGCAACAUAAUUAUUAUUUUUAGGAAGCAAAUUCUACUAUUUCUCAGGAACAAUAUCCGAGUUUCGUUCACCGCUUUGAUAUCGUUGUUUUUAUUUUAUCGCGUUAUUAAAUUUGGGCUUUCUUCGAAGGAAAGUAAAGCGGAAGAAGAUCAUUUCUUGGCAUAUAAGACCUUGGGGAGCCUGAGGCGUAGAUUGGAUAUUUACUUAAGAUUGGCCAUCUUGGAGUGCGUACGAGGUACAGACGCACAGCCUGGUGAUCCACCUGUUUAGGACACCCUUUCUGCUAUUCGGAGUGCUCCUCUCUUUUCGAAGCUUAUACUUUUGGUAUAUAUAUUUAUUAGUGCAUUUGUAUAUAUUCGUUCAUAGGUACGGCGGGACCCUGUCCCGUCAUAUGAUUCUGUCGCUCUGUUUAGAGGUCUGUGGACAUGUUUGCGGGUUAGGGUCUUUCUGUAUGGAUGUAUGUACAUGUCGUUUGGGCGAUCCCAUACGCCGAGGCGGCCGGUCCGCAUAUGUUGUUUGGGCGAUCCUAUACGCCGAGGCGGCCGGUCCGCAUAUGUUUAUAUAUUGCUUGGUUAGCCCUGUGUGGCUUUUGUUGGUAUUUUCUGCGUGCAGGGUAUAUUGGAUAGUCCGUAAAACAAAGGAAACUCUGCCGAAAUUUUUCUGGAAAUUACCUAAAUUUGAAAUAAAGCCUUGUCGGCUUCCGCCAUAUACUAGAAUGAGUUAAUAGAAUUUGAGAUAAUAUUUGAUAGAUGGGUUCGGGUGCCCAGAUCGGGCACUAGUCACGGCCUACGGGGUUGGGUCGUGACAUUAUCCCGAUGAAUCCAAUAUAUCUUAUCAAAAAUAAAUUAUCCUGAUGAAUCCCAGCUACUCACUGCUGUCCUCGAUCCACAUGUAGUAAACAAACAUGAAGGGUUCUUCAUCACCAGUCCAACCACCUCCCCAUUUGGCUUGCUGAUGAUUUGAUGUAAGGGCAUGAGAUAUUUUAAAGGUAAAAUAAUAUGCAAAAGACCAACGUGUAUUUUGUGCUUUUGAUAGUUCUCAAGGAUGCCAUAUUCCAAGCUUUGAAGGGAUUACACCCCAGGAAAUUACCAAUCUUUAUUUAGUUGUUUAUUUUUAUAUGCAUUGAAGUAGUAGGAACUUGUAACUAUAAGACUGUACCUUGUCCGUUCAUAUCUCCAGCCCUUUGGUUCUGGGCCUUUUGUUCAGAGUAAUGUAUUGUCUCAUACCACUUGAGGUAAUUAACUAGCUAGUGUUUCGUUUGACAGGUUACCAACCUUAGCUUGUUUGUUCUAACGAUAAACAUCAUUAAUCACGUGUUAAUUUGAAGUUUCCGCAGGAAAUAAGCUUUUUAAUAUUUCGUCGGCAAUUUAAAGCCUCGCAAGUAUUGUCCAUGAAACAGGGGUAAGUGGGGGUGUCCACAUCUGUGUCUUUGCUGUGUUGUUCUUGUCAAUAGAGUGCUCCUCUGAGGUAGCAUGUUACCUAAACAUCCAUUUUGCUUUUCUUUGAUGAUUCUUUCUUUGAACUACUUGUUCACCUAUUAGUGGUAUAUAUAGUUAUAUUUGCAAAAGUGAAAUCUUAAUGGUGCCACCAUAUGUAUCUGAUUAAUUGGUAAUAUUAUGUCUUCAAAUUUGAAAAACAAAGAGUAUCUGAUUAAUUGGUAAUAGACUGUAAAUGUUUUUGCUGUCUUAGAUUGAAAUAUCUCUCUGUGUAACUUAAAUUUGAAGUAAAAUAUGAAAUAUUUCGUUGCCGUGACGUUGAACUCCUACUCAUGAAGAGAAACUGGUUUAUUUUGUAAGAAUCCAAGUAGCUUCCUAGGGGCUAGAAUCUGAUUUUGCCCCUGAAAUUGUACCACUAAUUCAAAUAUAUCUAUUCAAUACUAGUGCCAAUAUCAGAUAAAUAUCCAUUCAGCUUGUUUCUCCAUGUGCUCAAUUCCAAUUCAACUGAAGCAUCUUUGUCAGUUUCAAGUUGCAGUUUUCCUUUGUGACCACAAAAUCUUUGGCACGGAUUCUAUGUUUAUUUCUCCGAGUCUCAAUCUCAUCUUUAUGAGUCCACUGUGGCACUUCUCUAAUUUUGCCUUGGUGGUUGCAAUGAUAAUUACCAGCUAUUUAAUCCUUGUAGCUAUAAAACAGAAACUUGAGGGGUUCUGGAUCCCAAGUCCAACCACCUAUAGCUACGGAUUCAGUAAAAAUAACGGCAAAGCUUUAGAUUUGCCCUUGUACUCUCAUAAAUAAGUUAUAGCCCUUCGUUACCCUUCGAUCGUUAAAUCCCCUUGUCUUCACCUUUAUUUUCCUACGUGGAAUAUUCUUCUCCCAAUUUAAAUUAAAAAUAAACCCAAAUAUACAACCCCCGUUCCCGGUCCGUUAGUCUUCUCCACUUAUUUAAUUGAACAGCCUUCUUCACCAUGGCAAAAAAACUUUUUUCAACAGUAAAAAUCACUGCUGCAAAAAGUUGCUAUACCUGAUGCCAAGAAAAGAUGAUCCGUUUUAUCUCAAUUCCAUCAUAUAUGUCGAAGUUCACAAUAUACAGCACCACAUUAAUAACAGCGCUAAUUAAAAGAUGUUAUCAACAACAGUGUAUGAGACGAUCUUACUAAUUUUCUCAUGACUGACCCUAGUUAUGAAUCAUUGAACAAAUGUCAAAAAGUUAGUUUUCUUUUCCUAUUUGCAUAUCGUAGUGUAUUGAAUCGAAAA